rnacentral:rRNA from 1 species
UAGGGAAUCUUCCGCAAUGGGCGAAAGCCUGACGGAGCAACGCCGCGUGAGUGAUGAAGGUCUUCGGAUCGUAACACUCUGUUAUUAGGGAAGAACAAAUGUGUAAGUAACUAUGCACGUCUUGACGGUACCUAAUCAGAAAGCCACGGCUAACUACGUGCCAGCAGCCGCUGUAAUACGUAGGUGGCAAGCGUUAUCCGGAAUUAUUGGGCGUAAAGCGCGCGUAGGCGGUUUUUUAAGUCUGAUGUGAAAGCCCACGGCUCAACCGUGGAGGGUCAUUGGACACUGGAAAACUUGAGUGCAGAAGAGGAAAGUGGAAUCCCAUGUGUAGCGGUGAAAUGCGGAGAGAUAUGGAGGAACACCAGUGGCGAAGGCGACUUUCUGGUCUGUAACUGACGCUGAUGUGCGAAAGCGUGGGGAUCAAACAGG